rnacentral:rRNA from 1 species
ACGAACGCUGGCGGCGUGCUUAACACAUGCAAGUCGAACGCAGAGCGAUGGAAGCUUGCUUCUAUCAAUCUUAGUGGCGAACGGGUGAGUAACGCGUAAUCAACCUGCCCUUCAGAGGGGGACAACAGUUGGAAACGACUGCUAAUACCGCAUACGAUCUAACCUCGGCAUCGAGGAUAGAUGAAAGGUGGCCUCUACAUGUAAGCUAUCACUGAAGGAGGGGAUUGCGUCUGAUUAGCUAGUUGGAGGGGUAACGGCCCACCAAGGCGAUGAUCAGUAGCCGGUCUGAGAGGAUGAACGGCCACAUUGGGACUGAGACACGGCCCAGACUCCUACGGGAGGCAGCAGUGGGGAAUCUUCCGCAAUGGACGAAAGUCUGACGGAGCAACGCCGCGUGAGUGAUGACGGCCUUCGGGUUGUAAAGCUCUGUUAAUCGGGACGAAAGGCCUUCUUGCGAAUAGUUAGAAGGAUUGACGGUACCGGAAUAGAAAGCCACGGCUAACUACGUG